UAGAUGGAGGCCUGCUGGUUUCGGGCACCUAGCUGUUAACUAGGAGAUUGUGGGAUCGAGGCCCACCCGUCUAG